AACGUAGGUGGCAAGCGUUAUCCGGAUUUACUGGGCGUAAAGGGUGUGCAGGCGGGCGGUCAAGUGGUGUAUGAAAUAUCCUGGCUCAACCAGGAGAGGUUAUGCCAGACUGACCGUCUUGAGUGCGGGAGAGGGGCGUGGAAUUCCGGGUGUAGUGGUGAAAUGCGUAGAGAUCCGGAGGAACCCCAGAGGCGAAGGCGG
rnacentral:rRNA from 1 species